rnacentral:misc_RNA from 1 species
AAGUCGUAACAAGGUUUCCGUAGGUGAACCUGCGGAAGGAUCAUUAACACGUAUCCAAACGUUAAACCCCCCUGUGAACCUUCAGUCGUACUCGUACGUCCGUUAGAAAAAGCAGCAAUCCCUGGUAAAUCAUCGCCGAACAGUUUUCGAUUCAGGGACGUCUGCAAGGAGCGUGCAUGUUGUGCGUGUAAGUGGCCUGGCAUCCCCAAGCAGUUAGUGUCUGAAAGUGUCACUAACGUUAGUGUCUGAAAGUGUCACUAACAUGUGUAAGGAUGACGCAGUCACGGCCCACACGGCCGACGACCGGGUCACUGGGUGCAAGCCCCCUUAGGUGAUCCUGCGGGAAGUCCUGCGGUCGAACGCCGAAACCGAACAACUGUUAACAAUGGAUAUCUUGGUUCUC